CAUCCUCCAAGGCUAAAUACUCCUGACUGACCGAUAGUGAACCAGUACCGUGAGGGAAAGGCGAAAAGAACCCCGGCGAGGGGAGUGAAAAAGAACCUGAAACCGUGUACGUACAAGCAGUGGGAGCCCCACCACCAAAGCAUUUGCUGUACCGCGUUGACGGAGCGAAGCGACGUCAAACCGAUAAAACAGCAGUGUAAAGUGAGCCGCAGGGCGCUUUGCGCGACAGCGCAAAGGCAGGCGGUUUCGCGUAGCGAAAGCGAAUGCUUUGGGGUGGGGUGACUGCGUACCUUUUGUAUAAUGGGUCAGCGACUUAUAUUCUGUAGCAAGGGUAACCGAAUAGGGGAGCCGGAGGGAAACCGAGUCUUAAUUGGGCGUUAAGUUGCAGGGUAUAGACCCGAAACC
rnacentral:rRNA from 1 species